ensembl:misc_RNA
CUGACAGCCCUGGAGACUGAUGUCCCCAUUAUUCUCAGAACAGGUGCACAUGAGCAUCUUCCUGCCAUGGAACUAGGCCUAGAGGUGGAAAGUCCAAUUCCCAGAUUAGAUGGUAGUUCAGUAUAAAGCCUUCUCAAACUGCACUCAUU